AUCUCCUCGGCUUUGAGUUUCUCCUCCUCGCGCAUCUCGUGGUCCGACUCGAGGGCGUCGAACACGGCGGCGCCCACCAGCAGCCACCCGGCGCGGGAGCGUGUCAUUGGCCAGGGACAUGGCCUCGUGGAGUGGUGGGGUCCCGAGGGCUGCCUCGGCCCCCUCGCCUCCCAGCGGCACAGCCCGCUUGGGCCAGCACCUGCAGACCCGAGUCGUUUCCCUGGAGAGCGCUAAGGACAGCAUGGGCCGCCACUUUUGGAGUCAGGACAGCGGGGAAAGACAUCGCAAUCCCCCGACCCAGUAACCUCUCUGUUGCUUUACUGAAGGAAAAAAAAAAAAUACACACACACACACACACACACACACACACACACACACACACACAUAUAUAUAUAUAUAUAUAUAUAUAUAAUCACUCUUUGAUAUAUAUAAUCACUCUUUGGUUCCCCACAGCUGGGCGCAAGGUGCGCCGUGGAUGCAGCCCUGAGCCACGCGAUAGCCCCCUCGAGACCACCUGGGGUAGGAACACGAGGCUCGGGCUGGGGCGCACCUAUUCCCUGCUUCCAGAUGAGCCCUCUCCAGGCUUUAUCUCCUUCCCAUUUUGGCCUCCUUUACCUCCUCCCCCUCCCCGCCCUCUCCCUUUAGGCUAUCGAGGGGCUUUUCCUUGACCUUCGGCUUCCUGAAUCCCGCCUGGAGCCCUGGAGCUCCAAAAGGACAGACCCAAGCCUCAGAGACCCCUGGGCUCCUCUUCCUCUCCUGACCCCAGCCAAGGAAGGGAUGGAGAUGGGAAAGAGUUGCCUGGCGGCAGGCUAGCAGCUGGCCAAGGGGUGGCUGGGGAAUCAGACCUAACCCUCGGGCAGCUCGCGGGCUCCAGGAGACCAGUCCCUUCUGUGGGUCGCCCCCUGGAGCGGUGCUCGGGCUCCCUGGCCUCAGGGACCCCGGGCCCAGAGGGUCUGGGACCCCAGUGAUUCACCGAGGCCUCCCAGCUGGGACGCUCUGCACCCCACUUUCAGGGAUCACGGGUGCCCACCAGGGAAGGGGAGCCCGCGCUGUGGGCUACGUCUGAGCCGUCAGGUCCUCGCUGGGUCUGCGGGCGCCCUGGGGCGAGGGAGCGGGGAGCCCUACCCCGAGCAGGCACUCUCCCCAGAUUCAUUUUGGAAACCAAGGCCCCCGCGCUCGGCAAGUGAGCCUGGCUGCCGGGUGAGUCACCGCGAGCGGGCGACAAGGAUUCCCAGCAGCUGAUGGGAAAACUUCCAGCAAGACAGGAUCACGUGCCCAGGAUCCCACAGUGAUUCCGAUGUGGAGCCAGCCCUGGAAGCCUCUCCGUGGCUUAAGGACCCCCGCUGCUUUCUGGCCCCAAGCUUAGAGUGCCUUGAGUGGCCACCUACCAGCCCCCAGACCCUGGUUCUUCCUCUCUUCCACCCGUGGGAAUAGACCCGUGGACUCAGGACCUCCCAGGCAGUGUCUGAGCCGUGGAAGCAGAGGGUUCCUCGUCCGCCCGUCCACACCCCACAUGUGCCACUUUCCAAGGCGCUGGACCUGCGGGUGGAAUGGGAGCUCCUGGGAGCAAAGCCUGGGGCUCAAUCAAGCAUCCUCCCUACAUCCCCAGCAUCCAUCCCGGAUGGUGUGUGCCACACAGCAGCCCAGAGAGUCUGGCUGGGGGCAGCGCCUCUGCGUGCCUGCCUCCCUGGCAGCCCGGGUGGGUCUGGGUGUCCCAACUCUAGCCCCACCUCGAGAAGCGUGUGGAACUGAGGUGUGGCCAAUCAGAGUCCAGAAUUCCCCAGAGCCACGGUGAUUGGCUGGAUUUGGACGUGUGAAGGCCCACCUCAACCAAUCAGAGCCCUCCUCUGGGUAGGGCUGUCAGCAGAUAGGUGACCUGAGGAGGGAGGCGGGUCCUUCCCGACUCUUUGAGAACCCCAAUGCAGGCACGUGGCGCACACGCGAGCCACCCAACUGGGGUGAGCAAGUGCAUUCUCUUGUGGGCUUAAGCCACAGUCAGUUGGUCCCAAGCCUGUCCGGUGCUCCUGGUGCCCAUGCGCUGUGUUUACAGCCUGUCUGCGCCCUCCAGCAGCCCCAACAUGGGCCUCCCUUGGACCUCAGUUUCUGUAAAAACAGAUGUACCUUAUUAGCUAAUAAAGAACAUCAUGGUUUUAUAACU
rnacentral:lncRNA from 1 species